rnacentral:rRNA from 1 species
CACGUAGGGCGCAAGCGUUGUCCGGAAUUAUUGGGCGUAAAGAGCUCGUAGGCGGUCUGUUGCGUCUGCUGUGAAACCGGGGCUUAACCCCUGGCUUGCAGUGGAUACGGACAGACUAGAGGUAGGUAGGGGAGAAUGGAAUUCCCGGUGUAGCGGUGAAAUGCGCAGAUAUCGGGAGGAACACCGGUGGCGAAGGCGGUUCUCUGGGCCUUGACCUGACGCUGAGGAGCGAAAGCGUGGGGAGCGAAACAGGAUU